rnacentral:rRNA from 1 species
UUAAAUGGCUGCAGUAAUUUGACUGUACAAAGGUAGCAUAAUCAUUAGUUUUUUAAUUAAAAGCUUGUAUGAAAGGUUGGACGAAAUAAAAUCUGUCUCUUUUUAAUAUAAUUAGAAUUUAAUUUUUAAGUUAAAAAGCUUAAAUUUAUAUAAAAGACGAGAAGACCCUAUAGAGUUUUAUAAUUUUAAUUUAUUAAUUAAUUUAGAUUUAUUAAUUUUAUUUUUUUAAAAUUAUUUUAUUGGGGUAAUAGAAAGAUAAAAAGAAUUCUUUUUUAAAAAAUCAUUAAUUUAUGAAAAUUUUAUGAUCCAUUAAAUUUUGAGUAUAAG